CUCUGGCGGGCAGUUGAUUGAAUGCACCCUGAGACUCGGCACUUUGGUGCCUUGUUUUUUUCCCUUCUCUUUGGACAAAGAAAACGAACACGCAAGGACGAUUGAAGGUUCCAUGAUCUAUUGAACAUUGACAUUAUAUUACGUCCUUAACGGAAUACAUCCGCAAAUCCUUCACACGGCUUCACUUUUGCCACAUUUUGUGCUUCCAACGAUGUGGCUGUCGCUCCGUUCGAAUUCCCUUCAGCAGCAUCUACCCAGCAAAGAUAAACGACACUGGGAUCACCUGGACUGCAGUCUUCUCUUCAUCUUGGAUCUCUGGGCCAGCAGAGACAGCGCAGAAUGAACAAAGCUAUGUGUUCCUGCCCCAGAUUGAAAGAGGAAGUAUGGAAUUGUCGUCUGAUUGGUCCAUGGUCCACUGACGUCAUCGUCGCUGUGCAGAAUGAUGGCCGUCACAUGCACCUGCUGGGGAGCUGAAGUAUACAAAACCAUUUUGUCAUGCAAUUUACAGAAAAAUGGUUCCAAACGAAUCGGGAGAAGCUUCGUCAUGCAGCAAGACAAUGACCCAAAAUUGCCAGCACAACAAAGGACAUUCGUCAGGGGGGAACAGUGGAAGUCACCCUCUCCCUCAGUUCUGGGGACCGGGGUUCAAAAUUUGCUUUCUUUGUGGAAAAAGAGAGGAAAAAAUCAAGACACCGGAGGGCUGAGUCUCAGCCUGCAUUCACUCAACUGAACACCAGAGUGCAAGUCCACUCGACGAGACACCUCGUUUAUUGAGCCUGAAUCAGGACGUUUCGAUAUGACUGUUUGGCAGAAGGUAUCUCUGCUUAUCACAAAAUGGGGGAGUCAUAUUAAAACCACCAUUCCUCAGUCAUCUAAACUCCUACAUAAUUUCAUGGCUAACAAAACUUCAUCAUGUAUCACCCUAGUGUUUUGGAAACGGAACUUAAUUGUUAGAUAGUGGAACAUAGCUUCAUGAGGAUGAAAUAAAACAAUCCAACACAUCUCAUUACACUGUGUUUGUGGCUACUCCCCCCCCCGGCAGUUGUGUUAACAUUUCAUGGAAAGUAGUUGUUGCCAUGUUUGUUUCGUGAACGCGUUAAAUAAAGCACAUACUAUUUAAGGGGGUGGGGGCAUUUGCCGUACUCAGUAUUUUGAGUCGUUCUGAGUUAUUUCCUGGAAUACAGACGAAAAAGCGCUCCAGUCCGGUUGGUGGCGGUAAUGCGCAUGUGCAGUGGUUGUCAAACACGAUUUAACACGAAGAAGAAGACGACGAAGACGAAGAAGAAACGCCAGCAGCAGCUCUAAGCUAGCAUCGUGCGAAAUGUCAGCUGACAGUCAAUGAGUCUUCUUUUUGUUGUUUUUUUAUGCACCUGGAUGCUUGUGUAAGAUUCUCCUGGAAGUGACACGCUCAGGAUGUUGGCACUCAGGUGCAUUUCGGGAGAUCUGCGUGGACAUCUGCGGCCGCCGAGGACGUCGCGGGAGGUUCCGCGUGAACUUUUGGCCCGACCUCCUCCGCCGACUCCCGCCCGCCUCUUGUCCCGGGGCGAGCCAUCGCCGGCCAAGUUGAAGCUGAGGACGCGCGUGGCCGUGACACUGCUGCUGGGCGGCGGGCUGCUGGCGUCGUGGGCGCGGCUCGGCGCCGAGAAGCGGCAGAAGGAGCGGCGGGUGCGCGCCGAGCAGCUGCGCCGGGCGGCGUUGGGUCGGGGCGACUUCAGCCUGGUGGACCACCACGGGCGCCGCCGCAGCAAGCGAGACUUCCUGGGCCGCUGGGUCCUCCUCUACUUCGGCUUCACGCGCUGUCCCGACAUCUGCCCCGACGAGCUGGACAAGAUGAGCGCGGCCGUGACCGACCUGGACCUGGACGCGUCCCUGCCGCCCGUGCAGCCGCUUUUCAUCACCGUCGACCCCGAGCGCGACCACGUGGAUGCGCUGGCCCUCUACGUCAAAGACUUCCAUCCUCGCCUGGUGGGCCUGACCGGCACGGCGGAGGAGGUGAAGGAGGCGGGCCGCGACUACCGCGUGUACGCCAGCCGCGGCCCCCCGGAUGAGGACGGCGACUACCUGGUGGACCACUCCGUCCUCAUCUACCUCGUCAGCCCGCAAGGACUCUUCGUGGACUACUACAACCGCCUCAAGGACAAGGAGCACAUCGUGCGCAGCGUGCGCCGGCACAUGGGCGAACACGACGAACUGCAGCGCUCGUGAUGUCGGUGUGACCAAAGGUGGAACAGCUGCGGCGAAGGAAGAGCAGGGAGGUUUUUGAACCUGUCGGCAGCUCGGACCCUGCUGAGGAGCGUCAAGCCCAUCGAGUCCACGCUCUCCUCCAGACCCGGCGCGCUGUCGAUGGCCACCGUGCCGUCGUUGGCCUGAAACACGCGCACGCGAGAGCCCGUCAUGUCGCGGCGCUCCGACGGCACCGUGAUGUCACCGUGACGUCCGACUCACUCACCAGCUGCAAAGACGCCAGCAGCAACUUGCAGACUUCAACGUUGUCCUCGCCGCGCACCACGGACGCAAAGUCACGGCGCCGGCCCACGGCGACCAACGCAGACACGAUCUUGUCGCCGUACUCGCUGAUGUCGAACGGCGGGCGCCGCUCCUGCGAUGGCAAACGGCCGUCAGGCGCGACGCGACGCACGGAAGCGCCGGUCCGGGCGGUUACCUCCACGAGAAGCUUUGGGCGGAUGCGGUCCUCCCACUCUUGCACGCGGCGAGACAACGCCAUCUCCUGCGUAUAUUCGCGGCACCUCUGCACCAUCUCCUCCUACGCACGCACUCACCGAUUACACCUUUGGCGGUCACGUGAGCUGUGAUGUCAUCACCUACCACGUGCAGCUUCACCAGGUCCUCGUAACUCAGAUGCUCGGCUUCUGCAAACGAACGUUUAAAAUUCGUUAUCUAUCGAUCGAUCGAUCGAUUCGUCCGUCCGUCGAUCCAUCGUCUUCGCUCACCCGGAGACGUGCCGCCAUCUCCCGCCUCGAACGUUUCCUGCUCCCGGUUGCCGUCAUCUGCAUCCACACACGCGCGCUUAAUCCGUGUGUGCAUUUGUGUGUAUGUGCGCGUAUUACCCAGACGGUCACGCUCCCCGAGUCCGUCCGUCCGCUCCCGGGGCCUUUCCUGUUCCUCUGGCUCCAGAAGGCUCCUCACCAAGUCUUCGUCCGAAACCUCUUUGUGAACUCCAAAUUGUUUGUUGUUCAUUCUCUUCAGGUUUCCCAGCUUGCUUUUGAGGCUACUCCGAUAAAUGUAGUUGAGGUCUGCGCCCACGCAAAGUCAUCAUUUCUUCGGACGGCCUGGAGCCUAAGCUAACAUGUUAGCACAAGAGACGUACCGACGCAGACGGGUCCUUUUCUGAGCUUGCGUUCAGCAGGAUCAUCUGCGAGAAGGAGAAGGAGGAGGCGUUGACGUGCGGGGGAGGCAAAAGAUGGCAGCGGAAGCUUCCAGAAGGUGCGCGAGUCUGACAUGUUUCUUUGAACCAGGUCCUGAAGUCCUCCCGCUGGGGCCGCGCGGCCGCCCGCUUCCUCUUGCCGUUGUCGUCCAGACCGCCGGGAACCUUGUAGGGCUUUCCUGCACCGGCGAGAGGACAAGUCCGGUCGACCGCCGACCAGACCGCGUGACCCCCGCCCUCCUACCUGACUCAAAAGGAGGAAUCAGAGAGACUGGAGGGAGGGGGGCCACGUCCACCAGCUGCAACACGACGACGACAACGACAACACAAACUUUGACUGACGGGCGACACAAGCCAACUGGGAGGUGCGCCGUUGGGUGUGCGUCUGUGUCCAUUUGUUUCUAGGCGCAAGUGUGUGUGCGUUUGAGAAGGUCUCACCACGUUGGAUUCGGGCCUGUCCACCCACUCGGCUGUUUCUAUGUCCACUUCGCAAAACUGCAGCAACAACAAAAAGAACAAGUAAGAAGAGUCGAGCAGUCGACGACCACGUGGCACCUCCCGUUUCUAACCGAAUCGUCGUCGUCGUCAGGGUGCGCCGCCGCUCUGCCCGCGUUGUCGCCCGGCGCCGCUUGUUUGCUUUGCCUGUCGGGAGGAAGGCGGUGGGAAUAAGUCAGAGGAAGUUUCAAAAGUGGACGUGAAGCGUUGCUCACUUCUUGUUGCGGUCUCGUAUGUAGUCCAGCGUUUGGUAGACCAGGUUGUGCAGCAUCUCCACCUGCAGACACAUCACCGUCAUCCUCAUCAUCACCGUUGAAAAUUGUUGUGCGAACUGAAUGAGUUACGUUCACCUCAACACAACCACAGACGCUUUGUAAUUAUUUGGAUUUGAUUACAUUCACUUUUCCACUGGGAACAAUGUACAUGUUGAGAUUAAAAGUUACAACAUAUUCAAGUUAAGGAAAUGUUCGCUGGGGGUUUGGUUUGAGCUGUCAUUUGUGUGGUGCGAUAUAUACUUUUUCUCUCCCUUUACUGGUCGUUUGUACUUUCUCUUGAGGUCAUCAACCUCAUUCGAGAAAACAAAAGGUCGAAGUUGACAAUGGAGCCCGGUGGCGUGCAGGCGGAUCGUCAUGUUCCAUUUUACCUUCUUGCUGUAUAUGCAAGCAGAACCUUGGAUGAGCAACGCCGCCUCGGCAAACGAUCGCACCUCCUCCAGGUAGUCGUUGAGCUCGGCCGCCAAGUCGAUGUCCCAGUUCUUGGAGAGCUCCCGGAUGGGCUGCUGCAAGUGAGCGAAUCGGCUCGCUGUGGACUCCAUGGCCGCAGUACACAGCGGGACCGCCAGGUGACG